UACGUAGGGUGCGAGCGUUGUCCGGAAUUAUUGGGCGUAAAGAGCUCGUAGGCGGUGUGUCACGUCGUUCGUGAAAACCCACAGCUCAACUGUGGGCUUGCGGUCGAUACGGGCAGGCUAGAGUUCGGUAGGGGAGACUGGAAUUCCUGGUGUAGCGGUGAAAUGCGCAGAUAUCAGGAGGAACACCGGUGGCGAAGGCGGGUCUCUGGGCCGAUACUGACGCUGAGGAGCGAAAGCGUGGGGAGCGAACAGG
rnacentral:rRNA from 1 species